AACGAACGCUGGCGGCAUGCCUAACACAUGCAAGUCGAACGAGACCUUCGGGUCUAGUGGCGCACGGGUGCGUAACGCGUGGGAACCUGCCCUUAGGUUCGGAAUAACUCCCCGAAAGGGGUGCUAAUACCGGAUAAUGUCUUCGGACCAAAGAUUUAUCGCCUUUGGAUGGGCCCGCGUUGGAUUAGCUAGUUGGUAGGGUAAAAGCCUACCAAGGCGACGAUCCAUAGCUGGUCUGAGAGGAUGAUCAGCCACACUGGGACUGAGACACGGCCCAGACCCCUACGGGAGGAAGGAGGGGGGAAUUUUGGAAAAUGGGGGAAAUCCUGACCCAGCAAUGCCGGGUGAGUAAGGAAGGCCUUAGGGUUGUAAAGCUCUUUUACCCGGGAUGAAAAUGACAGUACCGGGAAAAUAAGCCCCGGCUAACCCCGG
rnacentral:rRNA from 1 species